rnacentral:rRNA from 1 species
CCUACGGGUGGCAGCAGUGAGGAAUAUUGGUCAAUGGGCGCGAGCCUGAACCAGCCAAGUCGCGUGAGGGAAGACGGUCCCAUGGAUUGUAAACCUCUUUUGUCGGGGAGCAAAAGACGCCACGCGUGGCGUUCCGAGAGUACCCGAAGAAAAAGCAUCGGCUAACUCCGUGCCAGCAGCCGCGGUAAUACGGAGGAUGCGAGCGUUAUCCGGAUUUAUUGGGUUUUAAGGGUGCGCAGGCGGAAGAUUAAGUCAGCGGUAAAAUUGAGAGGCUCAACCUCUUCGAGCCGUUGAAACUGGUUGUCUUGAGUGAGCGAGAAGUAUGCGGAAUGCGUGGUGUAGCGGUGAAAUGCAUAGAUAUCGCGCAGAACUCCGAUUGCGAAGGCAGCAUACCGGCGCUCAACUGACGCUCAUGCACGAAAGUGUGGGUAUCGAACAGGAUUAGAUACCCGGGUAGUC